rnacentral:rRNA from 1 species
AUUGAACGCUGGCGGCAUGCCUUACACAUGCAAGUCGAACGGCAGCACGGGAGCAAUCCUGGUGGCGAGUGGCGAACGGGUGAGUAAUAUAUCGGAACGUGCCCAGUCGUGGGGAUAACGUAGCGAAAGCUACGCUAAUACCGCAUACGAUCUAUGGAUGAAAGCGGGGGAUCGCAAGACCUCGCGCGAUUGGAGCGGCCGAUAUCAGAUUAGGUAGUUGGUGAGGUAAAGGCUCACCAAGCCGACGAUCUGUAGCUGGUCUGAGAGGACGACCAGCCACACUGGGACUGAGACACGGGCCCAGACUCCUACGGGAGGCAGCAGUGGGGAAUUUUGGACAAUGGGCGCAAGCCUGAUCCAGCAAUGCCGCGUGCAGGAU